rnacentral:rRNA from 1 species
GACGAACGCUGGCGGCGUGCCUAAUACAUGCAAGUCGAACGAAGCUGUUUUAACUGGUGCUUGCACCGACUUAAACAAUUGAGUGGCGAACGGGUGAGGAACACGUGGGUAACCUGCCCCAAAGCGGGGGAUAACAUUUGGAAACAGAUGCUAAUACCGCAUAAUCACAGAAACCACAUGGUUUCUGUGUCAAAGAUGGUUUCGGCUAUCACUUUGGGAUGGACCCGCGGCGUAUUAGCUAGUUGGUAAGGUAAUGGCUUACCAAGGCAAUGAAACGUAGCCGAACUGAGAGGUGGGUCGGCCACAAUGGGACGGAGACACGGCCCAAACUACGACGGGAGGCAGCAGUAGGGAAUGUUCCACAAUGGACGAAAGUCUGAUGUAGCAACGCCGCGUGAGUGAAGAAGGUUUUCGGAUCGUAAAACUCUGUUGUCAGAGAAGAACGUGUGCGAGAGUAACUGUUCGUGGAGUGACGGUAUCUGGCCAGAAAGCCACGGCUAACUACGUGCCAGCCGCCGCGGUAA